UGGGGGAUAUUGCACAAUGGAGGAAACUCUGAUGCAGCAACGCCGCGUGAGGGAAGAAGGUUUUCGGAUUGUAAACCUCUGUUUUUAGUGAAGAAUAGAAUGACGGUAGCUAAAGAGGAAGCCACGGCUAACUACGUGCCAGCAGCCGCGGUAAUACGUAGGUGGCAAGCGUUGUCCGGAAUUACUGGGUGUAAAGGGUGCGCAGGCGGGACUGCAAGUUGGAUGUGAAAUACCGAGGCUUAACCUCGGAGCUGCAUCCAAAACUGUGGUUCUUGAGUGGAGUAGAGGUAAGCGGAAUUCCGAGUGUAGCGGUGAAAUGCGUAGAUAUUCGGAGGAACACCAGUGGCGAAGGCGGCUUACUGGGCUCUAACUGACGCUGAGGCACGAAAGCAUGGGUAGCAAACAGGAUUAGAUACCCUGGUAGU
rnacentral:rRNA from 1 species